GAAAAUUUUCCACUUGAAUGUGCAAUUAACCAGCAGCAGCGGCAGCAGCUCUGGAGAAGGAGAAGAAGCAGCAAAAAAGGACAUUCCUUCUUUCAUCUUUUAGGGUAAAAUAGAAGGGGGAGAGGCCUAUGCUGCUUUACAUCCCACAGAGAGCCAGCAAGAUGCAUUGCCAACACAUGAAAGGGUCCAUGGGAAUGGAGGACCACCUCAAAUAGGUAUCCCUCAGGAAAAGCAAUACCUCCCACAGGUCACAAAGUCAUCUAAAUUCAUUGUGAGUACAGAACUGAGGUUCACUGAAAAUCAGGCCCCAGCUAAGCUUUGGCUGAAUUUUUAAGCAACAACCAUUGGAAAAGGACCUUCAUGAAGCCUCCCAUUCAAAGUCCAGAUUUAACAACCAUAACAUCUAGAACCAAAAGCAACAUUCAGGUAAAGUGUUAAUCCACUGCCCUCCUAUCCCUCUUCACAGAAGUGGCCAGUUUCAGACAAAAGUUGUUCACGUUUCCUCAUGGUACCCUCUAGAAGAGGCAUGGAAAUGCCCUUGCUGUAACUUAAAAUGCAGAAGAGGUGAAUGGUGUGGCUGAGGUAACAAGAGCAGCUGUGUUGCUGUAGCACAAAGCUGUUGCUUCAGAGCUUAGUUAGCCCAUGGGGUGGUCUGGCUACUGUGGGUGGGCUACCCGUGGUACUCACACAAGCCCUGCCACCCCCUGCUAGCUCAGGUGCUUCCACGGUGCAAGUGCUCACCUAUUCCCAAGUUUCAAAAAUGAUGCAGAAACUUCACUUUGCGUUAGUGUCAGCCUUUUGCAGUGUCACAGUCAUGAUAUGGACAACAGCCCCAAAGGAAUUGGACUAGAGCAAGCGUUUUCCUUCCCUUGAGUUGAUGAAGCAGCCCUUGGUUAUAGCUGCAGUGUGAGUGACUGCUUUAACAGUGUUCUGCAGUCCGUAAUUUUGCACUGUGCGUUUUCCCCAAGGAGUGACCAUGGCUAGCUUAUUGAAAUCACACACAAAAAGGUCUUAGUCUAUUUCUUAGUGGUUGAUAGCAGAUAAAACUGUGAACUAUAGUGGUGGAACCUGCAGAAACCUGGGGUUUAUUGCUGGCUUUGUGACGAGAUGGAGGGCUGACUUCAGACAAAUAUUUUAAUCCCUUUGUGUUUCAAUUUCCCUCACAUGUGGAGAGAGGUGCUCGCCUCCUUUUCGACAAUGCUGCAUGGAAGUAAGGGAUGAGGUGCACUCUGGGAGCAAGCCUAGGGAAGCUUGUCCAGUUGCUGACUUUAGCCACCUGCUCCCAGAUAGCCUGAGAGCUUCAGUUCCCAAGGCUGCCAAUGCAGGACCUUUACCAGUGCUCUGUUCACUAACCAAACAUGUCUUUUUAUUAUGUUGUUGUUAUUAUUGCAGUUGGUCAACAGAAACCCCAUAAAACUUGAUGUUGUAAAAAAUAAUAAAAACAUGGUAAAGUUACAAAAAUUGACUUUGAUACUAAGUACCAGGUUGGCAUGACUACAAGUACGGCAUCACACACAGAGAAGCUACCAACACUCCUGCUCAUCAAGAAGCUCAGGCCAUGCUGGCCAGCCUCCUGGGUCUCUGCAUCCCCUCACCACACACCCUCCAGCACAAAUCCCCAGCAGACUCUUCUUUCCCGCCAGCUGAAACUACAGCAGGGGCUUUAAAAGUGGCUCUGGGCUGUGCUGCUGAACACCAGGUCAGAAGUUGCACUUGAUGCAGGUAUGGACUCUUUACUCCCUGCCAUGACUUUAUACUGUGGCCACAUGAAAAACUAGUGGUUACAUGAUUGUCUCCACCCACCGUCCAUGUCAUGGUUGUAUCCGAUCCUUUUGUGUAAGCCAUUUUGUAAACAGAGAUCCCAAUUUUUUAAAUGCUGCUCCACAGGCUGGUCAUUAGAUUUGAUCUACAGCUUUCUCUUAGCUUGGGAUGAUCAUUAAUAUCAUGUGAAGUAUUUUGAAAGAUAGCAAUUUUCCAGGGCAAUAUAAAUUUGAAUUUCAGAUGCUUAUAAAUAAUAAAGAAUAUAAACAUCAUAGGUACAGUUUAGUUUAUCUUCAUUUUUUACGUGACUUCUCUGGAUGGCAGGACAGCUGAACUGACUGCACAAAAUACAUUUUCAAAGUUAGAAAUAUAUAGCCAUCUGUUCAGCUCAUCACGUGUUAAUAGAUAUCUCAAAUUUCAAUUCGAGAAACAGCCAUCUUAAUAAAUAAGGUAACAGCAGGAAACCUGUGUUAACUAAUGGAGACCUAGCUGUAGUAGUACUACAUCUGUGUAAGUCAGUCAUUACAGAAAUAUUCAGACACAAAGUACUUGGCUUAUAUAAGACCUUUUAUCAAAAAGCAUUAGAAAGCUGCACUUUCUGGAAGGUUGGGACUGAGACUAGGAAAAGACCUAGCCAGAAGAUUUGUACCUCUAAGCUGACACUUGGAUAUGUUUUACAGAGGUAAGAGUUCCUUCCUAAAGAUGAACCUGCCCAAGCUUCACAUAUUUCUUCUGUGGACAACCAGUUGGUAUGCCAGAGAUGACCCUUUAGACAACUUCAGACCCACCUGAACUUGAAAUUCAGGCCACUAACUCUAAAGAAAAUGGCCCAUGCAAAAUGCCUGAGCUAACACCACUAUUAAGUUAAUUGUGCAGCCUCUGUAGGGCAGUGUCUUAUUUAAGUGUCUGGUUGCAGAUAAUUGAAUUUCAUCUGAAAGGUGAGCUUCUACUAGGCAAUAGUAGCCUAUACGUGCAUCUGUAGGCAUGAAGUGAGACAACUUACAAAAUAAGUAGAAGUCUGAUUUUUAAUCCUUUUUUGCUGUUCCAGAAGGCUCUUUUUGCUGCAUGGUUACAGGCAGUGUGAAGGGCUGUAACUCUAGGUCUUUGGUUGCCAAGAUGAUGAAAAUGUCACUCUCGGGCAGAUGGUACUGCUGAUGCAGAAGGUCACUGACUUGGAAAUUCAUUUAAACAAUCUGAAACAAAAACAAGUGAAUGGCGGAGAUAGUCCAUUAUUACCCUUGGAUAUUCAAAAGAGGGAUGAGGAAGCACAGAAAAAAGAGGAAGGUCAGUUUUUCCUUGGAUUAGUUAUAGAGACCACAUUAGAUUUCCUUAAGAACUAGACAGAAACAUAAGCCACUGAAUGAAAUCAUGGGUCAGAUCCUUGGAAUUCCAUAGAUGAGGUUCUUAUCUGAGUAGGGGAAACCACAGAGGGCACA